rnacentral:rRNA from 1 species
AAAGGGAGCGUAGGCGGUGGUUUAAGUCUGAUGUGAAAGCCCGGGCUCAACUCCGGUAUUGCAUUGGAAACUGAAUCACUAGAGUGUCGGAGGGGUAAGUGGAAUCCUAGUGUAGCGGUGAAAUGCGUAGAUAUUAGGAGGAACACCAGUGGCGAAGGCGGCUUAUGGACGAUUACUGACGCUGAGGCUCGAAAGCGUGGGGAGCAAACAGGAUUAGAUACCCUGUAGUCCACGCCGUAAACGAUGAAUACUAGGUGUCGGAGGACAUGGUCCUUCGGUGCCGCACAAACGCAAUAAGUAUUCCACCUGGGGAGUACGUUCGCAAGAAUGAAACUCAAAGGAAUUACGGGGACCCGCACAAGCGGUGGAGCAUGUGGUUUAAUUCGAAGCAACGCGAAGAACCUUCCAAGUCUUGACAUCCUUCUGACAAAGUAUGUAAUGUACUCUUCCUUCGGGACGGAAGUGCAGGUGGUGCAUGGUUGUCGUCAGCUCGUGUCGUGAGAUGUUGGGUUAAGUCCCGCAACGGCGCAACCCUUGUUCUUAGUAGCCAGCAGUUCGGCUGGGCACUCUAGGGAGACUGCCCGGUUAACCGGGAGGAAGGUGGGGACGACGUCAAAUCAUCAUGCCCCUUAUGACUUGGGCUACCACGUGCUACAAUGGCGUAAACAAAGGGACGCGAAGUCGUGAGGCCUAGCAAAUCUCAAAAUAACGUCUCAGUUCGGAUUGUAGUCUGCAACUCGACUACAUGAAGCUGGAAUCGCUAGUAUCGCGAAUCAGAAUGUCGCGGUGAAUACGUUCCCGGGUCUUGCACUCACCGCCCGUAA